UUACGGCCAUAUUACGUUGAAUCACCCGUAACCGUAUGAUCAGCAAAGUUAAGCAACCUCGAGCCUGGUCAGUACCUAGAUAGGUGACCGGGUGGGAAAACCAUGUACUGUAA